GACGAACGCUGGCGGCGUGCUUAACACAUGCAAGUCGAACGGAAAGGCCCUGCUUUUGUGGGGUGCUCGAGUGGCGAACGGGUGAGUAACACGUGAGUAACCUGCCCUUGACUUUGGGAUAACUUCAGGAAACGGGGGCUAAUACCGUAUAGGAGCUCCUGCUGCAGGGUGGGGGUGGGAAAGUCUCGGCGGGCGGGGAUGGACGCGCGGCUUAUUAGCUUGGUGGUGGGGGAGAGGCUCACCAAGGCGUCGACGGGUAGCUGGCCGGAGAGGGGGACCGGCCACAGUGGAACUGAGCCACGGUCCAGACUCCUACGGGAGGCAGCAGUGGGGAAUAUUGGACAAGGGGCGCAAGCCGGAUCCAGCCAUACCGCGUGGGUGAAGAAGGCCUUCGGGUUGUAAAGCCCUUUUGUUGGGAAAGAAAAGCAGCAGGUUAAUACCCCGCUGUUCUGACGGUACCCAAAGAAUAAGCACCGGCUAACUUCGUG
rnacentral:rRNA from 1 species